rnacentral:rRNA from 1 species
GACGAACGCUGGCGGCGUGCUUAACACAUGCAAGUCGAACGGAAAAGCCCUGCUUUUGUGGGGUGCUCGAGUGGAGAACGGGGGAGUAACACGUGAGUAACCUGCCAUUGACUUUGGGAUAACUUAAGGAAACUGGGGCUAAUACCGGAUAGGAGCUCCUGCUACAUGGUGGGGGUGGGAAAGUUUCGGUGGUUGGGGAUGGAAUCGCGGCUUAUCAGCUUGUUGGUGAGGUAGUGGCUUACCAAGGCUUUGACGGGUAGCCGGCCUGCGAGGGUGACCGGCCACAUUGGGACUGAGAUACGGCCCAGACUCCUACGGGAGGCAGCAGUGGGGAAUAUUGCACAAUGGGCGGAAGCCUGAUGCAGCAACGCCGCGUGCGGGAUGACGGCCUUCGGGUUGUAAACCGCUUUCGCCUGUGACGAAGCGUGAGUGACGGUAAUGGGUAAAGAAGCACCGGCUAACUACGUG